rnacentral:rRNA from 1 species
GUGGGGAAUCUUGCGCAAUGGGCGAAAGCCUGACGCAGCGACGCCGCGUGAGCGAUGAAGGCCUUCGGGUUGUAAAGCUCUGUGGGGAGGGAAGAAUAAGGGUUGGCUAACAUCCAACCUGAUGACGGUACCUCCUUAGCAAGCACCGGCUAACUCUGUGCCAGCAGCCGCGGUAAGACAGAGGGUGCAAACGUUGUUCGGAAUUACUGGGCGUAAAGAGCGUGUAGGCGGCUAUAUAAGUCGGAUGUGAAAGCCCGUGGCUCAACUGCGGAAGAGCACCCGAAACUGUGUAGCUAGAGUCCCGGAGAGGAAGGUGGAAUGCUUGGUGUAGAGGUGAAAUUCGUAGAUAUCAAGCGGAACACCGGUGGCGAAGGCGGCCUUCUGGACGAGGACUGACGCUGAGACGCGAAAGCGUGGGGAGCAAACAGGAUUAGAUACCCUGGUAGUCC